UGAGCCACAGUGCCCGGCCUAAUUACUUUAAAUUUAAAUAGCCACAUGUGACUAUUGGCUACCACAUUGAACAGCACAGUUCUAGAGAUUUUUGUGGCAGAAUCAAACAAACUUGUAACAAACUGGAUUUAUUCAUUAAUUUAAUCAAUAAAUAUUUAUUGAUUGUUUACUUUGUUCUGCAGUGAAAACGUGUGUGGCAAUAGGGUGUGACACGCCAGGGUGUUUAGACUUUGUGAGGUGCUUGGUAAAGGAGACCCAACACCAGUGUUUAAGCAUGAGCAGAGCAGAAAGAAAACUGAAGCCUGGAGAGGUAAAGAGACUUACCUAAGGCCAGUUGGCAAAAGACUCUUAACCUCCUGACCUCCAACUCCACUCCCUACUGGAAGAAUUUAUUUGAAUCUCUCUUUUCCUUGGCUAAGAAGAAUGAAGAGGCAGGAGACUUGGGGGACCCCUUAACUGGGGAUAAUUACUGGGACAAAUCAGCCAGCACAAAGAGGAGGCACUAAACAAUCAGUCCUGGUCUCUGUUAUCAGAGACUUUUGAUGCUACCAUUGGAGUCAGACAAGCAGACAAACAUCAACAAAAUGAUUAUAAACUAUGACACACUAUGAUGGGAAAGAAGGAGGCUGACAGAGAGGACAUUGGCAGGAAGGAGCCCUACUGUAGAUGUGGUGGUCAGAGAAGGGCCUUUGUGAGAAGCUGACACAUAAUCUCACAGUUGAAGUUGUGAGAAGGAGCUGGUCCUCCAGAGAGAAGUAGGAAGAGCGCUCCAGCAGAAUCUCUGGACAAGUGCAGCUACGACUGCUGCUGGGACCGCGAUACUGUGAUGAGACUUUGCAUAUUUAAAAGGAUGUCGAGAGAGGAGGAGGAAUGAUAAAUGAACUCAGGAAGAUGUGAUGUCUUCUGUGAUGACACUAAUAGAUGGAAUGCAGAAUUCAGCUCCAAUACUUAGGGUUGGAAACCAAACAUAAACAAGCAAGCAAGGAAAAUGAAAAGGAAUGUGUGUGUGUGUGUGUGUGUGUGUGUGUGUGUGUGUGUGUAGGUGUGAGAGUAUAUGAAAUACAUGAAAAGAUAAAAAGUUAGAUGCUGCUAAAGGGACAGACAUGUAGGAAUUUUACAUUAGGGUUGUUCUGAUUUUCAUUUUCUUGCCUUUUAAAAUUUAAUGAUAAACAAGUCUCCAGAGAUUUUUACAGCCUGGGAGACCACUGGUAAGACAACAAUAUAGGUGGUCCUCCAGCAGGAUCUAAAUCAGAGCCUUCAUAGUGGACUGUCGGGCCAGGUGCAGCUGUAGACAAUGCAUCUUCAGGAGUGGGGUGAAGAAAUUUAAUGGACUAGUAAUGCAACAGGAGGUAGAAGAAAAGUGUUCUCUCACUAAAGCAUGGUGGGUGUUUUCAAAAUGUUUAAAAAACAUUUUUAGGCCGGGCACAGUGGCUCACACCUGUAAUCUCAGAGCUUGGGGUGGCUGAGGACCCAAAAGGAGGAUCCCUUGAUGCCAGGAGUUGUAGACCAGCCUGGUCUAACAUAGCAAUACCCUGUCUC
rnacentral:lncRNA from 1 species